UUCAACAGUCAUAUAGCUAGUUACUCGUUGCAUCAACCUUUUUGACAUGUUAUUUGUUACAUUAGCCUUUUUGAAAUGCUAUUAUUUCUUCCAGCACUGUCCUACAACUGUUUACCCCUUCCAGCAGUAGCUGAUGCCUUUACAAGCACUACUUCCACAUAGAACUGUACAGCAGCAGCACUAUAGUCGUCUCCGCAUACAUUAGAGCAGGCGUGGUAUGCGAACCGAAUUCUGUUCAUUUGCUUAAUGAGACAGUAUCCAGAGCAGAAAGUAAAUAUGGAAAUUGUUUCAAGAACUACAUAGUGAGAGAAGAGCCACGCAGAACCAUAGCUUGACCACGCCUGCCACAGAGCUACAAUACUUGACACUUAAAAAAAAUGGUUGACGUGUUAGACACAGUGAAGUUAAUGAGAUCAUCAAAAGAAACUUUGCUGCAGCCUUGUACCCAGCGAAAGAGAACCUCGACCUUUACUACUUAAAACCCCUGAUAUGCUCGUCAGCCGCCUUGAUGGAAUGAUCAUAUCCCUGGAAGAACAGUAGACUGCUGGUGUCCUGGAACUAUACUUGCGCACCUUUCCUAGCUGACACCUACAUCCCCUUUUAUAGUGCUGUUCAGUAAGGUGGUACUACUGAUCACAAGCUCAAAAAGUAUAGGAAUUUGGCCCACCAAUAUCACUUCUUUCCUACAAAACUGGAAACUCUUGGUCCAUGGGAAAGCAUGCCAUGGGUUUUCUCAAAGAGCUGGGUUCAAGGCUUAUUAAAACUACCAGCGACCCGAGGCUUGCUGCCUGUCUUUUUCAGGCCUCAGUGGGGCUUAGAAAAUGGAUUGAGGUAUUUGAAUUAUUUAUGUGGAAUAUUAAUAUGAAUAAUGUGAAUAUUAGUAUACAACUCUUCAAAAAGCUUGUUAGUCAAAAUAUAUUAAUUUUCAUUGAACAUUAUGACCUAAUUGUUAAUUCAAUUAAUGAAAUGAUACUUUUUA